GAUAAACGCUGGCGGCGUGCCUAACACAUGCAAGUCGCACGCGCUUCUUGCGAAGCGCGUGGCGGACGGGUGAGUAACACGUGGGUAAUCUGCCUUUCAGUGAGGAAUACCGGCGAGAAAUCGCUGACAAUACCGCAUAGGCUCGGCAACGAGCAAAGCCUCUUUUCGGAGAGGCGCUGGAAGAGGAGCCCGCGGCCGAUUAGCUGGCUGGUGGGGUAACGGCUCACCAAGGCGACGAUCGGUAGCUGGUCUGAGAGGAUGAUCAGCCACACUGGGA
rnacentral:rRNA from 1 species